rnacentral:rRNA from 1 species
CCCUUAGAGUUUGAUCCUGGCUCAGGAUGAACGCUAGCGACAGGCUUAACACAUGCAAGUCGAGGGGCAGCAUGAUUUGUAGCAAUACAGAUUGAUGGCGACCGGCGCACGGGUGAGUAACGCGUAUGCAACUUACCUAUCAGAGGGGGAUAGCCCGGCGAAAGUCGGAUUAAUACCCCAUAAAACAGGGGUCCCGCAUGGGAAUAUUUGUUAAAGAUUCAUCGCUGAUAGAUAGGCAUGCGUUCCAUUAGGCAGUUGGCGGGGUAACGGCCCACCAAACCGACGAUGGAUAGGGGUUCUGAGAGGAAGGUCCCCCACAUUGGUACUGAGACACGGACCAAACUCCUACGGGAGGCAGCAGUGAGGAAUAUUGGUCAAUGGCCGAGAGGCUGAACCAGCCAAGUCGCGUGAAGGAAGAAGGAUCUAUGGUUUGUAAACUUCUUUUAUAGGGGAAUAAAGUGGAGGACGUGUCCUUUUU